CUGGUGCAUUGGGAGCUACUUAUAAUUGGGGAAAAUGAGAUCCUGAGAGCCAAAGUGACUUUUCAAGGGCACAAAGGCGUAGUGUGAAGGAGUGACAAGAAGUCCUCAUCCAGUGGCUGAUGAGAGCAGAGACAGACAUCCACAGAAACACACUGAGCUGAAAUCUGGAACUCAGUUGAAGAGAGGGAGGAAUGAAGAACGAAGGGGUCUGUACCUGGUUGGAGAAACCCACAGAAACAGUUGGCCUGAAAAAGGGAAAGCAUAUCGACCCCAGAUGCUCUUUGGGAGGACAGUACAGGACUAAUCCAGCCCCCUGAUCAUGGAUGCCAGUGGGGAGGCCCCUGCACUCCUUGGAGCCUCUGGAGGUGGACUGGUGUUUUGCCCUGGUGGGUGGGAGGAACUUCGAGAGCCCAUCCCACUUGAAGGGAUUCGCUCUGUCUCUGAACACAUGGGGAGGGGCCUAAGCCCAGCACAGGAAGAUUUGGUGGACUUGGUGGAGCCCUGGUUGGGGGCCCUACCCUGCCUGGGGAG
rnacentral:lncRNA from 1 species